rnacentral:rRNA from 1 species
AAUUAAAUCAUUAUACCAAACGUAAAAUGCUGCCUCAUUAUGCAGUAAUGCAUAAUCGGUAACAUGGCUAUAUGCUGGGAAGUCCUGAGUUAAAUCGAAGGAUGAUCAGCAGGGAAGUCGUAAUUGACCCCUCAGAGACCAUACGCCAUGCCCCCAAAAAGAAAAUUGGGAGAAGAUAUGGUCCUUCGUACUACAAGAAACGAAAAGCGAAAUACCUAAAAUGACUGGGACCGCAAGAAGCGAUUCUUGCGGAAAACUUGGCUAUAUGCGGGAAACUCUGUGUAUCUCAAGCUACUUAUUUGAUAUAAUUAUCAGAUGAGUAAAAAUGUUUUGAGUGCAGACAAUCCGCAGGAAAUGUUGAAUGCGACCAAAUUCUGGUUUUCAGGAUUUAUGUCAGCAGAAAUGUCUUGCUCAAUUAUUAAAGCAACAAACAAAAAUCCGAAAGGAUUUUACUACGCGAUUGAUCUUACUGUUACAAAUGCAGACAAAAAAAUCUUAAAGGAAAUCAACCGUGAAGUUAUGAAUGGUCGGGGUGUUAUCACUUCGGUCAAGGGCGCUUAUAAUCUGUCAGCUCGAGGAAAAGAUAAAGUGCGAAUCGUGCUUGAUUUUCUUGAGCAAUAUCCAAUUCUCGCAGGCGAUUUGGCAAAAAAUCGUAUUAUACUUUUGAAAAACGCUCUCGUGUAUCUUGCAGAUCACAAAACGAGUAAGUUUCAAAAAGAAAAAACUGCAGAAAUGGAAAAGUUGCGAGCAAAAUUAAGAGAACUCAAAGAGAAUGGUAUUGUAGAUCAAGAAUUUGAUUUACUAACUAUUCACAAAGAUUCUCUUGGUUAUUUUCUCGCAGGGGUGAUAGACGGAGAGGGUUCAUUUGGUUUUAAGUCUUCUGGACUUUACAAACAACCAUUCUUUGCUAUUGCUAUGAAAGACAGAAAAAUAAUUGAACUGUUGCAGAAAUUUAUCGGUUAUGGAAAUGUUAGGUUGAGAAAAGAUGGUGUUUAUCACCUUGAAAUAAAUGGUCGUAAUAUAUUAAAGAAUAUAUGCGAAAUGUUUCUCAAUCAGUAUCCACUCCGACAAACGCGACAAAGAAAAAGAUGUAUGUUCGUAUUUCAACAGCUCCUCAACGACCACACGCCAAAGUCUCUGAACUUUCUGGUCGGAGAUUAUGAUAUGGUCUGAACUGCAUGGCGACAUGCAGAGUCUGGCUCGCGCCAGACCGCUCCGACAUAGCGUCGGAGUUACUCCAACUCUUGUAGUGUUGGAGGAAAGUAACAGAAUGUGUCGGGUAGGAACUGCCCGCCUCGAGAGUAAUCUUGAGGGAAAUUUCUGGCUUAUAACGGUGGAGUCCUCGCUGGAGACUUGAGGUAAGUCUAUGAAAGCAGGAGAAUACCGUGGGAAGUCAAUCUACUUAGAUUUUUGGGUUAAAAAAGACACUCCUUUUCAGGGGAGUGCUUUGGAACGAUUUGGAUUUUCUCAGUUUUUUUUUGAUCAUGUUUUCGAGAAAUGCAAGGCUUUCUUCAAGCCGUAACUUCUUGACAAUAUGCUUUGGUAACUUUCUCACAAGGAGUCUGUAUACCAUAGUGUAUGUCAUCAAUAGCAGGAUGCAUGUCGCGUAAAACAAGACUGUGAAUCCGAGGGCGUAAAGAGCAUCUUUCAUAAGUUGGUCCUUUCUUAGGAGAAAGAUUACCUUUAAAGAUUAGUAUUGUCAUAUAUAUUUGACCCCAAAAAUCUGAGUAGUUUGACCCCGUAUCGACUUAAUCUAACUGUAAAUUACAGAAAGAUUAGAUUUGCUAAUUUAUUAGCAGAUAACACGCCAGCUCCUAAAUCAAUUUUAAAAUUGAUCGGAUGAAGAUAUAGUCAGUGCCACUAGAAAUAGUGGAAGGAACAUGAAGUUCCGACGCGCACGAAUGGUAUAAUGACUGGAGAACUGUCUCGGGGACCAGCUCGGUGAAAAUACAAUACCGGUGAAGAUGCCGGUUAAGUGCANAGUGCAGUUAGACGAAAAGACCCUAUGAAGCUUUACUAUAACUUUAUAUUGAGCAUGUUUUUGGACUGCGUAGCAUAGAUGGGAGAGGUCUGAUGGAUUCGUUUUUGGAUGAAUUCUACUCGUCAGUGAAAUACCAUUCUUUUUGAGGAUAUGUUCUAACCAAAGCGGCAAAAACGCUUUGAGACAGUAUAUGGCGGAUAGUUUUACUGGGGCUGUACCCUCGAGGAUUUGAAUUUUUGAAUUCGAAUCUUCGAAUUUUACAGCUCCAAUGUCAAAGACAAAAAGAUAUUUGCUUUGACAUGAAACAAAAAUAGGGGGGCAAAUGUUAGACACUCGGUGUUCAACAUUUGGAAAGUUGGGAAUUUGCUGGGAAAACCGGGUAUGGUAUACUACUUUUAGUCGUUAAAUAUUAAAAGUAACAAUGUAUACCUGCGGUCAAUCAGCAGGGAAUUAAAAAAUUAUGGGAAUAGAAUUUGCGACAAAAACAGUCAUCGAAAAAGAUGGGGCAAGAAGAGAAAAAAUUGCUAAUUUGUCUUCAAUUGAAAUGAAUGGCUUGAAAGAUCAGUUGGAAAUAAUAAUAGGAUCAUUGGCUAUGGGUGAUACUAUUGAACCCGGAAUUCUUCAAAAAAGACUGGAAACUAUUCAAGAUAAUUUAACGAAAAUUCAAAAGGCUAUGACAGAUAUAGCUAAUGAAAAAUAAUUCCCUCAGAGACUACAAACCAACCAUCCCAAUUAAAAAAAUUGAGAGAUGAAUGUAUAGUCCGAUCUUCAUGGCGACAUGAAGGAUGUUAACAAAACAUCAAUGUCAAAGG